UGAGUUGCAAAUCAGAAACUUGAAGAUGAAAUGGCUACUACGCUGGGUAUUGCCUUUAUCUUGAAUGCCAGCCUGAUGGUCCAAGGUGAACAAGCCUUCCUGUGUUUUCUGAAUGUUCCCCCGCACUUUGCCUGCCACCAUGUAAGAUGUGUCUUUGCGCCUCCUUUGCCUUCCACCAUGAUUGUGCGGCCUCCCCAGCCAUGUGGAACGGUGUCUGGGGUCUGUCAGGAUCAACAGGCCUUGAGAGAGACUGACCCAGAGGACUACUAAAAGGGACACCUGCCCAGGCCAGCCUAUUCUACCAUCCUCGUUCUCCUGCAAAACCAAGGCCACGUCAUUUCAGCAGAGGACCUGCGUGUGGAAGGACCCUGCAGCUGGCCCAUCACAGGAGAGGCCCAGACUCACCUCCCAAGGGGACCCUGGCACAUGAAGAUGCUGGUUCUCCUGGGAGUGCUGCCCUGGCCCACAGGAUAGAAGCGCAGGAUGGUCACCCAUGUCUGCUCUUAUUGAAUGUGUCUUAGAAGCGG
rnacentral:lncRNA from 1 species